AUCUCGGAAUGAGUGAUAGUGAAAUUUCAGGUGAGGCCGGCUGAGGCAGUAAGGACCAAUGGAUCAGAGCAGAGAUAUCGCCCAAACUCGAGGAAUCAUUGGCAGAAAAGCUGGGUGGCAAGAAUGAGACGGACUGGAAAAAGAUCAGAAUGGCUAACAAAUAAGGUUGGCCAGGGACCAUGGAAUCCAGCAGAGCUCCAGACUUGUCCAUUUCUUUCAUAGUCUUUGUUUUAAGGUGGGGAGCAGACGCACGUAACGUGGGGGACUGAGGAAAGGCCUGACAGUUGUGUUGGCUGAAAGCGAGAGGCCGUGAGAGACAAACAACAGCUGUGUUAUUGGUGUGGCGCUGAGAAGAGGAAGCUAGAGGUUAGCAAUGGCAUAAAGAUAAGCAGCCCCUGUGUAAAUCAGAUCAUCCACAAUGCAGAUUAGAAACUGAAGCUUGUCUGCAAAUAAAUGAUGAUU